rnacentral:rRNA from 1 species
UGGGGAAUAUUGCACAAUGGGCGAAAGCCUGAUGCAGCAACGCCGCGUGAGGGACGACGGCCUUCGGGUUGUAAACCUCUUUAGCAAGGAAGAAGCGAAAGUGACGGUACUUGCAGAAAAAGCGCCGGCUAACUACGUGCCAGCAGCCGCGGUAAUACGUAGGGCGCAAGCGUUAUCCGGAAUUAUUGGGCGUAAAGAGCUCGUAGGCGGUUUGUCGCGUCUGCUGUGAAAACCCGAGGCUCAACCUCGGGCCUGCAGUGGGUACGGGCAGACUAGAGUGCGGUAGGGGAGAUUGGAACUCCUGGUGUAGCGGUGGAAUGCGCAGAUAUCAGGAAGGACACCGAUGGCGAAGGCAGAUCUCUGGGCCGUAACUGACGCUGAGGAGCGAAAGGGUGGGGAGCAAAACAGGCUUAGAUACCCUGGUAGUCCACCCGUAAACGUUGGGAACUAGUUGUGGGUCCAUUUCCACGGAUUCCGUGACGCAGCUAACGCAUUAAGUUCCCCGCCUGGGGAGUACGGCCGCAAGGCUAAAACUCAAAUGAAUUGACGGGGUCAUAGCUGUUUCCU